AACAAACAAAUAAAUAAAUAAAUAAAUAAAAGAGGCAGUCACUUCUCAGUUCAACCAAGAGUUGCAAGACAGGGACGUGGGCCCAAUGUGGCCUGAUCCUCUGAUUUUCUUAAGAUUAGAAAUGGGGAGGAGAUGGGUCUCAGAAAGUCAUUUGUGGCCAGGCACAGUGGCUCACACCUGUGAUCCCAAUACUUUGGGAAGCUGAGGCAACAAACAAACAAACAAACAAACAAACAAAAACAAAAACAGGUGCCAGACUGGGUUUGGUUUUCUGUGGGCCUUGGUUUGCUGACCAGUGUUAUAGAAAAGACAACAUAUAAGGAUAUAUAAGGUGGCCGGGCAUGGUGGCUCACACCUAUAAUCCCAGCACUUUGGGAGUCCAAGGUGGUGGAUCGCUUGAACUCAGGAGUUCGAGACCAGCUUGGGCAACAUGGUGAAACCCUCUCUCUACCAAAAAUACAAAAAAUUAGCCAGGCAUGGUGGUGUAUGCCUAUGUUACCAACUACUCAGGAGGCUGAGGUGUGAGGUUGAGGUUAUAGUGAGGGAGGUAGAGGCCGGGAAGGUAGAGGUUGCAGUGAGCUGAGUUUACACCACUGCACUCCAGCCUGAGUGACAGAGCGAGAACCCUGUCUCAAAACAAACAAGCAAACAAACAAACAAAGGAUAUAUAAUUUUAUAUUAUAAGGAUAUAUUUACCAAGAUGUUUGUUGCAGUUUUUUGGGUUUGUUUUUUUUUUUUUGGAGACAGGAUCUCUGUCUGUCUGUAUGAUUGAUGGAGACCUGGUUUUUCCCAUUCAGCAACUAUUCGCCCCCCAAAUCGUGACAACAGCACCCGAUUUCCCUUCCCCACCUUCAGUCCCUGUGGAAUGCAUGGGGUGCCUCAACUGCCUCUGUUCAACAGGAGACACAUGAGCCAGCAUUGUGUUUGAGCUGGCUCGAACUAGCUCACUAGAGCUGAUGGGACAUGACAAGAGUUCUGUAAACCGGUUGACACUACAUUGGUAAUUGAAAUCGGCUAUGGUUUCAAGCUAAUGGGGGUACUUACAUCAUAGAAAUCAGGAAACACUACAAAUCAAAACUUUUAUUUUCUCAAAAAGACUAUUGUUAGACAUUUAUCAACACACCACUGCGUUUAGCUUAACCUAAGAGCUGUCUCCAGCACAGGAUGCAAGACAGCC
rnacentral:lncRNA from 10 species